rnacentral:rRNA from 1 species
GACGAACGCUGGCGGCGUGCUUAACACAUGCAAGUCGAACGAAGUGGCGAACGGGUGAGUAACGCGUAAUCAACCUGCCCUUCAGAGGGGGUCAACAGUUGGAAACGACUGCUAAUACCGCAUACGGAAGGAGGGGAUUGCGGCUGCUUAGCUCGUUGGAGGGGUAACGGCCCACCAAGGAGAUGAUCAGUAGCCGGUCUGGGAGGAGGAACGUGCACAUUGGGACUGAGACACGGCCCAUGCUCCUACUGGAGGGAGCAGGGGGGAAUCUUCCGCAAUGGACGAAAGUCUGACGGAGCAACGCCGCGUGAGUGAUGACGGCCUUCGGGUUGUAAAGCUCUGUUAAUCGGGACGCGGUACCGGAAUAGAAAGCCACGGCUAACUACGUGCCAGCAGCCGCGGUAAUAC